GAUGAACGCUAGCGAUAGGCUUAACACAUGCAAGUCGAGGGGCAGCACAAGGUAGCUUGCUAUCUGGGUGGCGACCGGCGCACGGGUGCGUAACGCGUAUGCAACUUGCCCUAUACAGGAGGAUAACCCGUCGAAAGACGGACUAAUACUGCGUAUGCUCACAACUUGGCAUCAAGUGGUGAGGAAAGAAAUUCGGUAUAGGAUAGGCAUGCGUCCCAUUAGCUUGUUGGUGAGGUAACGGCUCACCAAGGCAACGAUGGGUAGGGGAACUGAGAGGUUUAUCCCCCACACUGGUACUGAGACACGGACCAGACUCCUACGGGAGGCAGCAGUGAGGAAGAUUGGUCAAUGGGCGCGAGCCUGAACCAGCCAAGUCGCGUGAAGGAGGACUGUCCUAUGGAUUGUAAACUUCUUUUAUACGGGAAUAACAAGAGUCACGUGUGACUCCCUGCAUGUACCGUAUGAAUAAGCAUCGGCUAACUCCGUG
rnacentral:rRNA from 1 species